GAUGAAGAACGCAGCGAAAUGCGAUAAGUAGUGUGAAUUGCAGAAUUCAGUAAAUCAUCGAAUCUUUGAACGCACAUUGCGCCCCUUGGUAUUCCAUGGGGCAUGCCUGUUCGAGCGUCAUUUGUACCUUCAAGCUCUGCUUGGUGUUGGGUGUUUGUCUCGCCUCUGCGUGUAGACUCGCCUCAAAACAAUUGGCAGCCGGCGUAUUGAUUUCGGAGCGCAGUACAUCUCGCGCUUUGCACUCAUAACGACGACGUCCAAAAGUACAUUUUUACACUCUUGACCUCGGAUCAGGUAGGGAUACCCGCUGAACUUAAGCAUAUCAAUAAGCGGAGGA
rnacentral:misc_RNA from 1 species